UUAAGUUAGAAAGGGCGCACGGUGGAUGCCUUGACACUAGGAGUCGAUGAAGGACGGGACUAACGCCGAUAUGCUUCGGGGAGCUGUAAGUAAGCUUUGAUCCGAAGAUUUCCGAAUGGGGAAACCCACCAUACGUAAUGGUAUGGUAUCCUUAUCUGAAUACAUAGGGUAAGGAAGACAGACCCAGGGAACUGAAACAUCUAAGUACCUGGAGGAAGAGAAAGCAAAUGCGAUUUCCUGAGUAGCGGCGAGCGAAACGGAACAUAGCCCAAACCAAGAGGCUUGCCUCUUGGGGUUGUAGGACAUUCUAUACGGAGUUACAAAGGAACGAGGUAGACGAAGCGACCUGGAAAGGUCCGUCGUAGAGGGUAACAACCCCGUAGUCGAAACUUCGUUCUCUCUUGAAUGUAUCCUGAGUACGGCGGAACACGUGAAAUUCCGUCGGAAUCUGGGAGGACCAUCUCCCAAGGCUAAAUACUCCCUAGUGAUCGAUAGUGAACCAGUACCGUGAGGGAAAGGUGAAAAGCACCCCGGAAGGGGAGUGAAAGAGAUCCUGAAACCGUGUGCCUACAAAUAGUCAGAGCCCGUUAACGGGUGAUGGCGUGCCUUUUGUAGAAUGAACCGGCGAGUUACGAUCCCGUGCGAGGUUAAGCUGAAGAGGCGGAGCCGCAGCGAAAGCGAGUCUGAAUAGGGCGUUUAGUACGUGGUCGUAGACCCGAAACCAGGUGAUCUACCCAUGUCCAGGGUGAAGUUCAGGUAACACUGAAUGGAGGCCCGAACCCACGCACGUUGAAAAGUGCGGGGAUGAGGUGUGGGUAGCGGAGAAAUUCCAAUCGAACCUGGAGAUAGCUGGUUCUCCCCGAAAUAGCUUUAGGGCUAGCCUUAAGUGUAAGAGUCUUGGAGGUAGAGCACUGAUUGGACUAGGGGUCCUCAUCGGAUUACCGAAUUCAGUCAAACUCCGAAUGCCAAUGACUUAUCCUUAGGAGUCAGACUGCGAGUGAUAAGAUCCGUAGUCAAAAGGGAAACAGCCCAGACCGCCAGCUAAGGUCCCAAAGUGUGUAUUAAGUGGAAAAGGAUGUGGAGUUGCUUAGACAACUAGGAUGUUGGCUUAGAAGCAGCCACCAUUUAAAGAGUGCGUAAUAGCUCACUAGUCGAGUGACUCUGCGCCGAAAAUGUACCGGGGCUAAAUACACCACCGAAGCUGCGGAUUGAUACCAAUGGUAUCAGUGGUAGGGGAGCGUUCUAAGGACAGUGAAGUCAGACCGGAAGGACUGGUGGAGUGCUUAGAAGUGAGAAUGCCGGUAUGAGUAGCGAAAGACGGGUGAGAAUCCCGUCCACCGAAUGCCUAAGGUUUCCUGAGGAAGGCUCGUCCGCUCAGGGUUAGUCAGGAUCUAAGCCGAGGCCGACAGGCGUAGGCGAUGGACAACAGGUUGAUAUUCCUGUACCACCUCUUUAUCGUUUGAGCAAUGGAGGGACGCAGAAGGAUAGAAGAAGCGUGCGAUUGGUUGUGCACGUCCAAGCAGUUAGGCUGAUAAGUAGGCAAAUCCGCUUAUCGUGAAGGCUGAGCUGUGAUGGGGAAGCUCCUUAUGGAGCGAAGUCUUUGAUUCCCCGCUGCCAAGAAAAGCUUCUAGCGAGAUAAAAGGUGCCUGUACCGCAAACCGACACAGGUAGGCGAGGAGAGAAUCCUAAGGUGUGCGAGAGAACUCUGGUUAAGGAACUCGGCAAAAUGACCCCGUAACUUCGGGAGAAGGGGUGCUUUCUUAACGGAAAGCCGCAGUGAAUAGGCCCAAGCGACUGUUUAGCAAAAACACAGCUCUCUGCGAAGCCGUAAGGCGAAGUAUAGGGGGUGACACCUGCCCGGUGCUGGAAGGUUAAGGAGAGGGGUUAGCGUAAGCGAAGCUCUGAACUGAAGCCCCAGUAAACGGCGGCCGUAACUAUAACGGUCCUAAGGUAGCGAAAUUCCUUGUCGGGUAAGUUCCGACCCGCACGAAAGGUGUAACGAUUUGGGCACUGUCUCAACCAGAGACUCGGUGAAAUUAUAGUACCUGUGAAGAUGCAGGUUACCCGCGACAGGACGGAAAGACCCCGUGGAGCUUUACUGUAGCCUGAUAUUGAAUUUUGGUACAGUUUGUACAGGAUAGGCGGGAGCCUUUGAAACCGGAGCGCUAGCUUCGGUGGAGGCGCUGGUGGGAUACCGCCCUGACUGUAUUGAAAUUCUAACCUACGGGUCUUAUCGACCCGGGAGACAGUGUCAGGUGGGCAGUUUGACUGGGGCGGUCGCCUCCUAAAGUGUAACGGAGGCGCCCAAAGGUUCCCUCAGAAUGGUUGGAAAUCAUUCGUAGAGUGCAAAGGCAUAAGGGAGCUUGACUGCGAGACCUACAAGUCGAGCAGGGACGAAAGUCGGGCUUAGUGAUCCGGUGGUUCCGCAUGGAAGGGCCAUCGCUCAACGGAUAAAAGCUACCCCGGGGAUAACAGGCUUAUCUCCCCCAAGAGUCCACAUCGACGGGGAGGUUUGGCACCUCGAUGUCGGCUCAUCGCAUCCUGGGGCUGUAGUCGGUCCCAAGGGUUGGGCUGUUCGCCCAUUAAAGCGGUACGCGAGCUGGGUUCAGAACGUCGUGAGACAGUUCGGUCCCUAUCCGUCGUGGGCGUAGGAAAUUUGAGAGGAGCUGUCCUUAGUACGAGAGGACCGGGAUGGACGCACCGCUGGUGUACCAGUUGUUCUGCCAAGGGCAUAGCUGGGUAGCUAUGUGCGGAAGGGAUAAGUGCUGAAAGCAUCUAAGCAUGAAGCCCCCCUCAAGAUGAGAUUUCCCAUAGCGUAAGCUAGUAAGAUCCCUGAAAGAUGAUCAGGUUGAUAGGUUCGAGGUGGAAGCAUGGUGACAUGUGGAGCUGACGAAUACUAAUAGAUCGAGGACUUAACCAU
rnacentral:rRNA from 1 species